UCCGAGAUUGAGCCAAACAGAAGCAUC
rnacentral:piRNA from 1 species